UACGAAGGGGGCUAGCGUUGCUCGGAAUCACUGGGCGUAAAGCGCACGUAGGCGGAUUGUUAAGUCAGGGGUGAAAUCCUGGAGCUCAACUCCAGAACUGCCCUUGAUACUGAGGAGCUUGAGUCCGGGAGAGGUGAGUGGAACUGCGAGUGUAGAGGUGAAAUUCGUAGAUAUUCGCAAGAACACCAGUGGCGAAGGCGGCUCACUGGCCCGGUACUGACGCUGAGGUGCGAAAGCGUGGGGAGCAAACAGG
rnacentral:rRNA from 1 species